UACGGAGGGUGCAAGCGUUAUCCGGAUUCACUGGGUUUAAAGGGUGCGUAGGUGGGUCUGUAAGUCAGUGGUGAAAUCUCCGUGCUUAACAUGGAAACUGCCAUUGAUACUAUAGGUCUUGAAUUUUCUGGAGGUAAGCGGAAUAUGUCAUGUAGCGGUGAAAUGCUUAGAUAUGACAUAGAACACCAAUUGCGAAGGCAGCUUGCUACAGGGAUAUUGACACUGAGGCACGAAAGCGUGGGGAGCAAACAGG
rnacentral:rRNA from 1 species